rnacentral:rRNA from 1 species
GACGUAGGGCGCGAGCGUUGUCCGGAUUUAUUGGGCGUAAAGAGCUCGUAGGCGGCUCAUCGCGUCUGCCGUGAAAACCCGCAGCUCAACUGCGGGCUUGCGGUUGAUACGGGUGGGCUGGAGUUCGGUAGGGGAGACUGGAAUUCCUGGUGUAGCGGUGAAAUGCGCAGAUAUCAGGAGGAACACCGGUGGCGAAGGCGGGGUCUCUGGGGCCGAUACUGACGCUGAGGAGCGAAAGCGUGGGGAGCGAACAGG